rnacentral:rRNA from 1 species
CAUGAAGUCGGAAUUGCUAGUAAUCGCGGAUCAGAAUGCCGCGGUGAAUACGUUCCCGGGUCUUGUACACACCGCCCGUCACACCAUGGGAGUCGGAAAUGCCCGAAGUCUGUGACCCAACCUGAGAGGGAGGGAGCAGCCGAAGGCAGGUCUGAUGACUGGGGUGAAGUCGUAACAAGGUACC